rnacentral:rRNA from 1 species
AUUGAACGCUGGCGGCAGGCUUAACACAUGCAAGUCGAGCGAGCGGCGGACGGGUGAGUAAUGUCUGGGAAACUGCCUGAUGGAGGGGGAUAACUACUGGAAACGGUAGCUAAUACCGCAUACCAUCAGAUGUGCCCAGAUGGGAUUAGCGAGUAGGUGGGGUAAUGGCUCACCUAGGCGAAGAUCCCUAGCUGGUCUGAGAGGAUGACCAGCCACUGGGGAAAGUGUACACGGUCCAGAUUCCAACGUGAGGCAGCAGUGGGGAAUAUUGCACAUUGGGCGCAGGCCUGAGGCAGCCAUGACGCGGGUAUGAAGAAGGCCUUAGGGUUGUAAAGUACUUUCAGCGGGGAGGCGUUACCCGCAGAAGAAGCACCGGCUAACUCCGUGCCAGCCGCCGCGGUAAUUC